GAAUCCCAUCUCGAACGUAGUUUCUUGUCUUUUCGAAGAUGAGAAGCAAUUUUGGUGUUCGAGGAUCUGAGCAAUCUCAACCCGCUGGUUUCUCUUUUUCAGUUUACUGGAAAGGGAAUUUUUGUCCCGGGGGGAUGCUUGAAAGGAGGUUUUUGUUUUCCAUUUCCUUCCUUGGGGGUUCGUAUUCCUUUGGCCUGAAAGCAUAUUUAUUUAGUCCCGUCAAAAGGAUUAUUUCUCUUUGCUGGAAAGGUGUUGAAGGAGAACUUUCGAGAGGGGAGUGUGCCUCAAUUUUACAGGGACUCUCACAA
rnacentral:misc_RNA from 1 species